GGGCCAUUAGCUCAGAUGGUAGAGCAGGGGCCUCUUAAGCCCAAGGUCGAAGGUUCGAUCCCUUCAUGGCUCA
rnacentral:tRNA from 1 species